rnacentral:rRNA from 1 species
GCACAAGCGGUGGAUGAUGUGGUUUAAUUCGAUGCAACGCGAAAAACCUUACCCACCUUUGACAUGUACGGAACCCUUUAGAGAUAGAGGGGUGCUCGAAAGAGAGCCGUAACACAGGUGCUGCAUGGCUGUCGUCAGCUCGUGUCGUGAGAUGUUGGGUUAAGUCCCGCAACGAGCGCAACCCUUGUCAUUAGUUGCUACAUUCAGUUGGGCACUCUAAUGAGACUGCCGGUGACAAGCCGGAGGAAGGUGGGGAUGACGUCAAGUCCUCAUGGCCCUUAUAGGUGGGGCUACACACGUCAUACAAUGGCUGGUACAAAGGGUUGCCAACCCGCGAGGGGGAGCCAAUCCCAUAAAGCCAGUCGUAGUCCGGAUCGUAGUCUGCAACUCGACUACGUGAAGUCGGAAUCGCUAGUAAUCGUGGAUCAGAAUGUCACGGUGAAUACGUUCCCGGGUCUU